CAGCAGCCACGGUAAUACGGAGGGUGCAAGCGUUAAUCGGAAUUACUGGGCGUAAAGCGCACGCAGGCGGUUUGUUAAGUCAGAUGUGAAAUCCCCGAGCUUAACUUGGGAACUGCAUUUGAAACUGGCAAGCUAGAGUCCUGUAGAGGGGGGUAGAAUUCCAGGUGUAGCGGUGAAAUGCGUAGAGAUCUGGAGGAAUACCGGUGGCGAAGGCGGCCCCCUGGACAAAGACUGACGCUCAGGUGCGAAAGCGUGGGGAGCAAACAGGAUUAGAUACCCCAGUAGUCCCUGUCUCUUAUAC
rnacentral:rRNA from 1 species